UAGGGAAUCUUCGGCAAUGGGGGGAACCCUGACCGAGCAACGCCGCGUGAGUGAAGAAGGUUUUCGGAUCGUAAAGCUCUGUUGUUAAGGAAGAACGAGUGUGAGAAUGGAAAGUUCAUGCUGUGACGGUACUUAGCCAGAAAGGGACGGCUAACUACGUGCCAGCAGCCGCGGUAAUACGUAGGUCCCGAGCGUUGUCCGGAUUUAUUGGGCGUAAAGCCAGCGCAGGCGGUUAGAAAAGUCUGAAGUGAAAGGCAGUGGCUCAACCAUUGUCGGCGUUGGAAACUGUUUAACAUGAGUGCAGAAGAGGAGAGUGGAAUUCCAUGUGUAGCGGUGAAAUGCGUAGAUAUAAGGAGGAACACCGGUGGCGAAAGCGGCUCUCUAGUCUGUAACUGACGCUGAGGCUCGAAAGCGUGGGGAGCGAACAGG
rnacentral:rRNA from 1 species